GACGAACCGUGCGAACGUUGUUCGGAAUAACUGGGCUUAAAGGGAGCGUAGGCGGGCUAACAAGUCUGGGGUGAAAUCCCGCGGCUCAACCGUGGAACUGCCUUAGAUACUGUCGGCCUCGAGGGAGAUAGGGGCAUGCGGAACUAACGGUGGAGCGGUGAAAUGCGUUGAUAUCGUUAGGAACUCCGGUGGCGAAAGCGGCGUGCUGGAUCGGCAUUGACGCUGAACAGCGAAAGCUAGGGGAGCAAACGGG
rnacentral:rRNA from 1 species